GGGCUGGUAGCUCAACUGGCAGAGCACCCCUUUCGCACGGGGGAGACUCCGAGUUCGAAUCUCGGCCGGUCCA
rnacentral:tRNA from 1 species